GGAUCCUAGAGAGCGGCUUUGAAGAAAGGGUGAAAGAGAGAGGGCUUCUCAUAAAAGGAUGGGCACCUCAAGUGCUUAUCCUUUCACAUUCUUCUGUUGGGGGAUUCUUGACACAUUGUGGAUGGAACUCAACUCUUGAGGGGAUAACCUCUGGUCUCCCACUCCUCACAUGGCCUCUAUUUGCAGACCAAUUCUGCAAUGAGAAACUAGUUGUGCAGGUACUAAAGGCCGGUGUGAAAGCCGGGGUUGAGCAGCCUAUGAAAUGGGGAGAGGAAGAGAAGAUAGGAGUGUUGGUGGAUAAAGAAGGUGUUAAGAAGGCAGUUGAAGAGUUAAUGGGUGAGAGUGAUGAUGCAAAGGAGAGAAGAAGAAGAGCCAAAGAGCUUGGAGAGUUAGCUCACAAGGCUGUGGAAGAAGGAGGCUCUUCUCAUUCUAAUAUCACUUCCCUCUUAGAAGACAUAAUGCAACUAGCACAAUCCAAUAAUUGAUUAUGUCAUUGUUAAAAGAAAUACAAAUAUUUAUACAUUCUUUAUUUGGAGGAUAGGAGACUUAGUCCAACACGUCCAUAAAGUUAGGUUAAACUUCUUUUAAACAUAUCUAAAAACUUUAAUGAACAACUAGAAUUUUUGGUGGAUUCUCAACCAAGUAAAUCAAAUAUAAAUCUGUCAUAUAAGUUUGAUAUCGUCAGCUUCCUUUGGUUUUUGUUCACUCAUUUUCUAUAUUGCUCCUUUUUGCAUUCACCUUUCUAAUCUUUGUUUGAUCUAAUUCUUAAAAGUCUUAUCAUCUCAUUAUCUAUAGAAUCUUUUUCCAUUACCGAACUCAGGAAAGAAACAUUCACACGAAAGUGUUGUAGGCUCUGGACCUAUGUUCUUUUUUUUUAUUGAUUGUGAUUUUUGAGGCUUCUUGAUACAUAUAGCUGUCUUGAAAAGAGUCCAAAGUUGGAUUUAUCUUCUCGUACUGUUUAUAUUGGAUUGGAGUUUAAUCGAUCUUUAAAGUUUCAAACACUUCUCCUUGGGGUUAAAUUAUUAAUUUAGGUGCCUUUAUUGUAACAAUUUAAGGAUUUACAGAACAUGUAGCUAUCAACAGGCCUCCAAGUUGUUGUUUUUGUGUCUGAAUUAUCUUCUUUGUGUAAGGGAAAGUCAUUACAGGAUGCAAGAUAGGGUCGCAAAGGGACAAACUAUGGAUACACAAUCUGUGGACUGUAUUGGAUGUGUUUGUCAAGUAAAAUCUAUUUUACGUCAUGUAUUACGUCUUCUGUUCAGUUUUUUUUUUGCUCUCCACGCAUCUUUGUUCUAUAUAAGCUCUCUCGCUCUCACAAAUAUAAUCCAGAACCAAGACAAAACUUGAGAGUUUAUCAUCAGCAUGGGUUCUGAAACAGCUAAAAAAUCUUAUCCUCUUCACUUUGUUCUCUUCCCUUUCAUGGCUCAAGGCCACAUGAUUCCCAUGGUGGAUAUCGCAAGGCUCUUGGCUCAGCGAGGUGUGACCAUAACCAUUGUCACAACGCCUUACAAUGCAGGGAGGUUCAAGAAUGUUCUAAGCCGUGCCAUUGAGUCAGCUGGCUUGCCCAUCAAGGUAGUGCAUGUGAAGUUUCCAUCUCAAGAAGCUGGUAUGCCAGAGGGAAAAGAAAAUAUAGAUUUGCUCGACUCCAUAGAGAUGAUGAUACCUUUCUUUAAAGCAGUUAACAUGCUCGAAGAACCGGUUCAGAAGCUCAUGGAAGAGAUGAGCCCUCCACCAAGCUGCUUAAUCUCUGACAUGUGUUUGUUUUAUACAAGCAAACUCGCCAAGACGUUCAAUAUACCAAAGAUCCUCUUCCAUGGCAUGUGUUGCUUUGGUCUUCUGUGUAUGCAUAUUUUACGCGAAAAUCUUGAGAUCUUGGAGAGUUUGGAGUCAGACAAAGAGUACUUCACCGUUCCUUAUUUUCCUGACAAAGUUGAAUUCACAAGACCUCAAGUUCCUGUUGAAACAUAUGUUCCUGGAGAGUGGAAGGAGUUCUUGGAUGGAAUUAAAGAAGCUGAUAAGACAUCCUAUGGAGUGGUGGUCAACACAUUUCAAGAACUGGAGCCUGCUUAUGUCAAAGACUACAAGGAAGCAAGGUCAGGUAAAGCAUGGUCCAUUGGACCUGUUUCCUUGUGCAACAAGGUGGGAGAAGAUAAAGCUGAGAGAGGAAAUAAAUCAGAUAUUGAUAAAGAUGAAUGCCUUAAAUGGCUUGAUUCUAAGGAAGGUGGUUCUGUGCUCUACGUUUGUCUAGGAAGUGUCUGCAAUCUUCCUCUGUCUCAGCUCAAGGAGCUUGGCCUAGGCCUAGAAGAAUCUCAAAGACCUUUCAUUUGGGUCAUAAGAGGUUGGGAAAAAUAUAAAGAGCUUGCUGUGUGGAUCUUGGAGAGCGGCUUUGAAGAAAGGGUGAAAGAGAGAGGGCUUCUCAUUAAAGGAUGGGCACCUCAAGUGCUUAUCCUUUCACACCCUUCUGUUGGAGGAUUCUUGACACACUGCGGAUGGAACUCAACUCUUGAGGGGAUAACCUUUGGUCUCCCACUGCUUACAUGGCCGCUAUUUGCUGACCAAUUCUGUAAUGAGAAAUUAGUGGUGGAGGUGCUAAAAGCUGGUGUGAAAGUAGGGGUUGAGGAGCCUAUGAAAUGGGGAGAAGAGGAGAAGAUAGGUGUGUUGGUGG
rnacentral:lncRNA from 1 species